UCUUUUUACCAUUGUUUUCGGUGCGUGAGGACUACGGACUACUGAGUUUGACUUGUGACUACUGGGGUAUCUGUCAUACUGUUUUUAAUUUUAAUUUUUCGCUUAGGUAGUGAUUUUAGUGUUUUACCGUCCUGGGUGUUAUUGUAUUCUGAUCUGUUGGUUCUAAAGCCAGAAUCAAGAUGUAUACGGGUACUAGCGCUGAUCAAGAUACUAGAUUCAGUGACAAAGAAAAAAAGCUUUUGAAACAAAUGAAAUUUAGUGAAUCUUUAAACGCUAAGGUUGAUAUGAAUAAAGUAAAGCUAGAUACUAUCAAACCUUGGAUUGGUAAAAGAAUAACAGAAUUGCUAGGAAUGGAAGAUGAUGUUGUAGAAGAAUUUGUGAACAAUCAGCUUGAAGCAGAUACUUGGCCCGAUCCAAGAAAAAUGCAAAUAAAUCUUACUGGUUUCUUGAAUGGCAAAAAUGCUCGAGUGUUUAUGACAGACUUAUGGGAGUUACUUUUGUCUGCACAGGAAUCUCCAUCGGGCAUUCCCCCUAAAUUUAUUGAGCAAAAAAAAGAAGAAUUAAAAAAGAAAAUGGAAGAUCAAGAGCGAGUAGGCGAUAUGAUUAAGAAGUUUGAAAAAGACAAAGAAGACAGAGAAAAAGAAAGAAAAAAAGAUAGAGAAAGAAGAAAAAGUCGUAGUAGAUCACAUACACGAGAUCGUCGUAGUCGAUCUAGAGAUCGCCAUCGUGAUAAACGAGAUAAAGAAAAGGAAAGAGAUAAAUAUAAAGAUCAUGAUUCAGAUAAAGUUCGAGAGAAGCAUACAAAAAGAGAUUCUCGUUCAAAAUCAAAAGGGAAACUCGUGAGUAAUGGACAUAGUUCACCAGCUAAAACUAAAAAAGAAAAAAGUCGAAGUUGUUCGCCUAAAAAUGAUGUUACAAUAUCUGAAGAAAAAACCAACUUAAAAAAUUCAGUUUCGCCUACUAAAGAUAAAGUUGUAGAAACAAAUAAUAAACCUAAACCUAAAGAACGAUCAUUAUCUAGAGAUUCUACUAAACGUAGAGAGAAAAAACGUCAUCAUUCUUCGUCAUCAAGUCGUAGUUCAUCAUCAUCUAAUUCAUCUUUAAGUCCUGACCGUAAAAAAGAUUUUGAGAUUCAGAAAAAAGAAAACAGUAUCCAAAAAAAAAGGCAAUACCGAACAAAUAAAGAUGAAUCCUCUGGUAGUGAAUCAGACAAAGAUAAAUCUACAGAUAGAAGAGAUCGCCGUGAUCGUUCAUCUUCUCGGUCAAGACGUCCAUCUAGACAUGCUUUCAAUCGUGGCCGUUACCGUGAAAAAAGUCGUGAUCGUUAUUACAGAGAUAGAGAGAGAGAAAGAGCGAGAGAAAGAGAACGAAAUCGGCGUGAUCGUGAGCGAGAACGUAGAGAUAGAGAAAGAGCAAUUCGUGAAAGAGACCGUGAACGUGAUAGACGUAGGCAAAGAGAAAGAGAAGAAAAAUCAUCACCUCGAAGAAGAAAAUCCAGAAGUCCUGAAAGAAAAUCUAGAUCAGGCAGCAGACAUACUAGAUCUCGUUCAAAAUCUAAAAGGAGACCAAGUGGAAAAUCACGUAGCAGAGAACGCACGGUUAAAGAUUCUAGCAUUGUUUCUCCCACAAAAAAAGAUAACACCUCAAAAUCAAAGGCUUCUCAAGAAAGUUUAUCUAGAACCCCUUCACCUUUUAAGAAAGUUGAAGAUAAGACAGAACGUAAACCAGUAAAAGAUAGAUUGGGUGUUAGAGAUGAACAACAUUCUAAAUCUUCUCAGCCUCAAAGAUCAAAAGGACAAUCUCCUUCAUCAGAAAAGAAAAACAAUAAUGAUAAAAAAAAUUCAUCUAGUUCUAGACGAAAAUCAUCAACAUCUCCUGUUAUUAAAAAGAAAGAAGAAGAAAAACCUGAAAAAGUAAAAAAACCUUUGAAAAAAUCUGAUGUUUCUGAUGCUGAAAACGCAAAAAGUAAUAAAAAAAAAGAUGAAGAAUCAAGUUCGUCAGAUGAAUCGUUAAAAAAGUCUAAAAAGAAAAUUAAAAGAGAUUCUAGUUCAGAUGAUGAUAAAAAAACUAAAAAACGAAAACUAAAGGAUUCUACUUCAUCUGAAGAUGAAGAUUCUAAGAAAAAAAAGAAACGUAAAAGAAGAUCGUCCAGUUCUAGUUCAGAUGAAAGUGAUAGAGAUGACAAAAAAAAGAAAAAAGAUAAGAAACAUAAAAAACACAAGAAGCAUAAGAAACAUAAAAAACAUAAGAAACGCAAAACUGAAGAAAGUGGCUCUGAUGUCAAGUCUGGAGAUGAAUCAGAACAACGUUUAAGAGAAAAGGCAUUGCGUACGAUGAAAAAGAAAAAUCAAGCUAAACAUGAUGGAACCCCUAAUAGUAAUAGCAGUGAUUAAUAAAAGAGGUUAGCCUACUGUCCAGUCAACAGGCUGCUGACUUGUUAGCAGAGUUAUACUUGCAUCAUUUUCAUAGCGCUGUCUGAUCAUUUUUGAGGUUACUACAAUUGUUUUCUUUCAAUCAACAUUUUUAAUGAACACCUACUAUACUUCUAUCAACAUUCAUUCUGCAUUUCUCCAAUCAACAUAACUUCUAUCAACACAACUGCAAUCAACAUUACUUCUAUCAACACACCUGCAAUCAACAUAUCUUCGUUCAACAUUACUUCUAUCAACACACCUCCAAUCAACAUAUCUUCGUUCAACAUUACUUCUAUCAACACACCUCCAAUCAACAUUACUUCUAUCAACAUGCCUGCAAUCAACAUAUACUUCAGCACUUCUAUCAACCCGCCUACUUUCUUUUCAACAUUCCUUCUAUUAACCCUUGAUCUUCACUGCAAUCAACAUUUUUUUUGUGCUGCCAAAAAUCCUUCAAUAUUCUUUCAAGAUCAAUUGAGGGUUUUAUGUUUUCAAAUCACUGAAAACUAUCGUUCCAUCUACUAAUUCUCUGUAAUCAUAUGAUUGAAUCCAGAAUAAGAUGUGUGCACAAUUUAAUAUCUUAACCAAUGAGAGUUGUGUUAUGGAUAAAUACAAUACCCACGACAGCUGUUUGAAAAUGUACCUAGGCCAAUUGAAAAUCUACAGUUGAUCUAAAAAAAGUUUUUGGCUUAUGA
rnacentral:misc_RNA from 1 species